rnacentral:rRNA from 1 species
AUCCUGCUCAGAUUGAACGCUGGCGGCAGGCCUAACACAUGCAAGUCGAGCGGUAGAGAGAAGCUUGCUUCUCUUGAGAGCGGCGGACGGGUGAGUAAUGCCUAGGAAUCUGCCUGGUAGUGGGGGAUAACGUUCGGAAACGGACGCUAAUACCGCAUACGUCCUACGGGAGAAAGCAGGGGACCUUCGGGCCUUGCGCUAUCAGAUGAGCCUAGGUCGGAUUAGCUAGUUGGUGGGGUAAUGGCUCACCAAGGCGACGAUCCGUAACUGGUCUGAGAGGAUGAUCAGUCACACUGGAACUGAGACACGGUCCAGACUCCUACGGGAGGCAGCAGUGGGGAAUAUUGGACAAUGGGCGAAAGCCUGAUCCAGCCAUGCCGCGUGUGUGAAGAAGGUCUUCGGAUUGUAAAGCACUUUAAGUUGGGAGGAAGGGCAGUAAAUUAAUACUUUGCUGUUUUGACGUUACCGACAGAAUAAGCACCGGCUAACU